rnacentral:rRNA from 1 species
GACGAACGCUGGCGGCGUGCUUAACACAUGCAAGUCGAGCGGUAAGGCCUUUCGGGGUACACGAGCGGCGAACGGGUGAGUAACACGUGGGUGACCUGCCUUUAGCUUCGGGAUAAGCCUGGGAAACCGGGUCUAAUACCGGAUAUGACCUCAUGUCGCAUGGUGUUGGGUGGAAAGUUCUUCGGCUAGAGAUGGGCCCGCGGCCUAUCGAGCUUGUUGGUGGGGUGAUGGCCUACCAAGGCGACGACGGGUAGCCGGCCUGAGAGGGCGACCGGCCACACUGGGACUGAGACACGGCCCAGACUCCUACGGGAGGCAGCAGUGGGGAAUCUUGCGCAAUGGGCGAAAGCCUGACGCAAGCGACGCCGCGUGA